rnacentral:rRNA from 1 species
GUAGUUGGAUUUCGGGUAGGGGGCGCCGGUCCGCUUCGGUGUGCACUGGCGGCCCAUACCUUCUUGUCGGGGAUGCGCUUUUCUGGCUUUCAGUAGUCGGACGCAGAGUCGGCGCCGUUACUUUGAAAAAAUUAGAGUGUUCAAAGCAGGCUUUCGCUUGAAUACAUUAGCAUGGAAUAACAUGAUAGGACUCCGGUUCCAUUAUGUUGGUCUUCGGGACUGGAGUAAUGAUUAAGAGGGACAGUUGGGGGCAUUCGUAUUUCAUUGUCAGAGGUGAAAUUCUUGGAUUUGUGAAAGACGAACUUCUGCGAAAGCAUUUGCCAAGGAUGUUUUCAUUAAUCAAGAACGAAAGUUGGGGGCUCGAAGAUGAUUAGAUACCAUCGUAGUCUCAACCAUAAACGAUGCCGACUAGGGAUUGGCGGAUGUUUUUUGAUGACUUCGCCAGCACUUUGUGAGAAAUCAAAGUCUUUGGGUUCCGGGGGGAGUAUGGUCGCAAGGCUGAAACUUAAAGGAAUUGACGGAAGGGCACUACUAUGGCGUGGAGCUUGCGGCUUAAUUUGACUCAACACGGGGAAACUUACUAGGUCUAGACACAAUAAUGAUUGACAGAUUGAUAGCUCUUUCUUGAUUCUGUGGGUGGUGGUGCAUGGCCGUUCUUAGUUGGUGGAUUGAUUUGUCUGGUUAAUUCCGUUAACGAACGAGACCUCAGCCUGCUAAAUAGUUCCCGCGAACCUUGGUUCGAGGAGGACUUCUUAGAGGGACUAUGGAUGUUUAAUUUAUGGAAGUUUGAGGCAAUAAUAGGUCUGUGAUGCCU